UGCAGGCAGGCCCACCACAGAGCACAGGUACCACACCACAGCCAGUGCUCCACCUUAAAAUUCAAUUUCCCAUCGAAUUUCCCACUCAGCAGCCAGGGCUGUGGUGGAGCUGCAGCUCCAUCCUGCUGGGGACAGCCCCAGGCACAGAGAUCCCCACUCCAACCCUGCCCUGCCACAUCAGCCAGCUGCCAGAACCUGGGCAUUUCUCCCAAAGGGGCAGGCACAGCCAGGGUGCACCCCUGGGAUGCAUUUUCAUGGUUUGGGGUGGCUCCAAACCCUCCAAACCCUUCCCCUCCUGUCCUGAAAGCCAAGAAAACAACUGGGAGCUGCCCCAUUGCACCUCCUCCCUGGACAGGAACUCAGCUUUGGGUCAAAGCAGGGAGCUCAUCACAGCAGCACGAGAACCAGAGGGGAUUCUCACUGAGAGACACAGAAUGCAUCGAGGCUGAAGGGCCACACAGGGUCACCUGUGCCACCCUCUGCAGGCAGGGCCAUCCCAGGGCACAGGUGGGCACAGGUGGGCAGGGCCAUCCCAGGGCACAGGUGGGCACAGGUGGGCACAGGUGGCUCUGGGCUCCCCAGGUGGGCAGGGCCAUCCCAGGGCACAGGUGGGCACAGGUGGCUCUGGGCUCCCCAGGCAGGGCCAUCCCAGGGCACAGGUGGGCACAGGUGGCUCUGGGCUCCCCAGGCAGGGAGGCUCCACAGCCUCUCUGGGCUCUGCUCAGGGCUGGCACUGCCCAGGGCAGCAGUUCUGCCUCCUGGGCAGGGGCAGCUCCUGGGCUCAGGCCCUGCCCGUGGCUCUGGGGCCAUGGCUGGGCCUGGAGCAGAGCCUGGGGCUGCCCUGACCUUGGCACACUGGGACAGACAGACACAGAAACAGACUG